CGGACGACCUUGGCGGAUAAAAACAGUUACAAGAUCGGCUUAAUCGGCCAUGUCUUGAUGGUUUUCGGUGUAAAUAAUUGUUAAAAUUGUCGGUUAAAUAACAGUUGCAUAACACCAAAAAUGAGGCGUACUUACUGGUUUCGCCGAAAGGGAUGGCGGCUAUUGACAAGAAAUUCAACGAAUUGAAGUUCCAAACGAGGAAAUCUUAUCACGCCUGGAUAGAAUCCAAUGAAAGAGUUCUCAAAGCACGAGACGAUCUUUCCAACUUCUCUUGGUCAGUCCAACAUCUAGAAUAGAAAUUCUCCUCCCAUCAUUCCCAGAUUUUGGAUUUUACAUAAUUUAUCGUGUUCAACCAUCAAGGCACGUGACCCAAAAAGUGUUACGCCGUCACAGUUAGUCACUUUGUUGUUGUUCCAUUCGUCAAGUGAACAAUUAUCGUGACGUAAUAUUUGUUAAACCCAAAUAGCUGAUGACGCAUUCUUUACACAUCACUAGCUCCUCGAGCGAUGGGAUAAAUACGUGAAAACAGAAAAAUACAAGUAAGCUCGAUAAGCUGGUGAACAUAGCAAAAUUUUAUGCCAACACAAAUUAACGAUAACGUGGACCGUCCUAGAAGGGUUUCACCUGGUUUUAUCAGAUAACCUUGGUGGAACGAGUUGAAAGGCAGACUAGAAGAACGACGUAAUUAGGAGGCAAAACCGGAUGAUAUAUCGCGCCAUUCCAAUACCUAAGUCGUUUGAUUCUGGCACACCACUGGAAACAACACAUUUGGGAAAUAAACGGGAGUUCAUCGAGUACCAUCACGAUGCAAACGGCUGCCUAUAUAGGCGUGACGGAUAUCGAAGUGCUGCAUCCUGCAUGUACGCGUGAUGAAUACCGGAGAUGGCUGCAACAAUUUUCAAGUGAGCGCAGCAAAUGCAAAUAUUAAAUGUAAAGUCGUCAUGUCAGCCUUGUAUUCGGACUCGUAUGCUUCAAUUGUAAUUCAUCAAUUAUCCUGGAUGACCUCUGAUCCUGGAUUACGUCAUAAAUAAGUGGGUUGACGUAAUUCCCAGCCCAUUGCAGAUACAAGGAAAAAGAGAGAGGAUCGCAGGGAAUUAUUUCCUCGUUUUAUCUUAUCGGUACCCAUGCAACCAGCCCGCCUACCCUAAAAUCGACAUUAGUUCAGUGUAACAGACGGAGCUCCGAAGAGAUUCUGAAGUCACGUUUUAAUUGAUAAAUAUUUAAAAUGUGUUCAGCAUGCUGUGCACUAUGCAAGUGUUGUGGAAAGCUGACCAAGUGGAUUAUCACAGGUAUCAUCAUAUUCUUUGUCAUCACAGCCAUCGUAGUGCCAUAGGUUCUUUUAUUGGGUCCUGAAGAGCCGGAAUUGACAACCCUUGAGCCAUUGGUAACAACGGCCAUCAAUGAAUUAGAUUUAAAUUUAAAAGAUUCAAUAAUAUUCAAAGCCAUCGAAGACAACAUCAAAUCAACGUCGCUGUGAGCCAGUAAGACUACCAAAAACGAUUUCCAUACUUAUUCAACCUAUAUAACUGACGGAUGGCAGAUGAACUAAUAUUUCCAUUAUCAAACUGUUGAAAUGAUUUCUUGUUCAAAACAAAUAAAGUAUUCGUAACAAUAAAAAA
rnacentral:lncRNA from 1 species